rnacentral:rRNA from 1 species
GACGAACGCUGGCGGCGUGCUUAACACAUGCAAGUCGAACGGAAAGGCCCUGCUUUUGUGGGGUGCUCGAGUGGCGAACGGGUGAGUAACACGUGAGUAACCUGCCCUUGACUUUGGGAUAACUUCAGGAAACUGGGGCUAAUACCGGAUAGGAGCUCCUGCUGCAUGGUGGGGGUUGGAAAGUUUCGGCGGUUGGGGAUGGACUCGCGGCUUAUCAGCUUGUUGGUGGGGUAGUGGCUUACCAAGGCUUUGACGGGUAGCCGGCCUGAGAGGGUGACCGGCGACAUUGGGACUGAGAUACGGACCAGACGCCUACGGUAGGCAGCAGGGGGGAAUAUUGCACAAUGGGCGGAAGCCUGAUGCAGCAACGCCGCGUGCGGGAUGACGGCCUUCGGGUUGUAAACCGCUUUCGCCUGUGACGAAGCGUGAGUGACGGUAAUGGGUAAAGAAGCACCGGCUAACUACGUG